GAAUGAACGCUGGCGGCGCGCCUAAUACAUGCAAGUCGAGCGAGAAGACGUAGCAAUACGUUUGUAAAGCGGCGAACGGGUGAGGAAUACAUGGGUAACCUACCCUAGAGUGGGGAAUAACUAGCCGAAAGGUUAGCUAAUACCGCGUACGCUCCUUGGACUUCGGUUCAGGGAGGAAAGCGAUGCCGAGGGUAUCGCGCUCUUGGAUGGGCUCAUGUCCUAUCAGCUUGUUGG
rnacentral:rRNA from 1 species